GGUGCUGUGGUGUAGUGGUUAACACACCGGUCUGUCACACCGGAGAUCGCGGGUUCAAUUCCCGUCAGCACCGCCA
rnacentral:tRNA from 1 species